GACUGGGUGGCCAAGUUGGCUAAGGCGUGAGACUGUUAUUUAAGGAUUUCAUCUAGAAUUUCUUCUGGCAUCUCAAGAUCGAGAGUUCGAGCCUCUCCCUGGUCG
rfam:Candida albicans SC5314 chromosome 1 sequence.